rnacentral:rRNA from 1 species
AUGCAAGUCGAGCGAACAGAUAAGGAGCUUGCUCCUUUGACGUUAGCGGCGGACGGGUGAGUAUCACGUGGGUAACCUACCCAUAAGACUGGAAUAACUCCGGGAAACCGGGGCUAAUGCCGGAUAAUAUUUAGAACCGCAUGGUUCUAAAGUGAAAGAUGGCCUUGCUAUCACUUAUGGAUGGACCCGCGCCGUAUUAGCUAGUUGGUAAGGUAACGGCUUACCAAGGCAACGAUACGUAGCCGACCUGAGAGGGUGAUCGGCCACACUGGAACUGAGACACGGUCCAGACUCCUACGGGAGGCAGCAGUAGGGAAUCUUCCGCAAUGGGCGAAAGCCUGACGGAGCAACGCCGCGUGAGUGAUGAAGGUCUUCGGAUCGUAAAGCUCUGUUAUUAGGGAAGAACAAAUGCGUAAGUAACUGUGCGCGUCUUGACGGUACCUAAUCAGAA